GGCGACUGAUGCAAGAUGAGGUAGUAUUGAUGAACAAACGCAUUAGCAACAACAUCAGGAGGAACUGAGGCUUGCUGGACCGACGUUGCCAUCACCGAUGAAAUCUCUGAGGUCAGAUUUGCAGCAAGCGAGCGAGGUAAGAGAAAGAUGGUGAUUAGCUCUGCUACUAGCUGUGUCUUUCUCUCACCUCCCCUUAUGGUGAUAGUGAUG
rnacentral:misc_RNA from 1 species